rnacentral:lncRNA from 1 species
CCAUCUUUUCAAGUAAGAUAGAUGCUACAACGAGAUUGGAGUGUAGACUUAUCUUCGCUUCUUAAAAUUAAUUUCUUGACAAGACUUAUGAUACCUCUUGUAACAUUUUCUCAGUAACAAAUAUCCUAUCACAUGUCUCAACCGAAGAGGAUUAUAGGAUGACUCUUUAUUUCUCCUGGUGUUAGUUUUCUAUCUGUCUCUAAGGUGUGGUUCGAGCCUUAGAGCUGAGCUAUUCAACAUGUUUCCG